UACGUAGGGUGCAGGCGUUAUUCGGAAUUACUGGGCGUAAAGCGUGCGCAGGCGGUUUGCUAAGUCAGGUGUGAAAUCCCCGGGCUUAACCUGGGAACUGCGCUUGUAACUGGCAAGCUAGAGUGUGGCAGAGGGGGGUGGAAUUCCACGUGUAGCAGUGAAAUGCGUAGAGAUGUGGAGGAAUACCGAUGGCGAAGGCAGCCCCCUGGGAUAACACUGACGCUCAUGCACGAAAGCGUGGGGAGCAAACAGG
rnacentral:rRNA from 1 species